AGGCUUCGGGGCCACCAACAUGUAAAAAUCUCAGCUCAAAUCUCAGCCUCAAAUCUUAAAUUUCUGACUCUGGUGAGAUUCUGCUAAAACGGCGUGCCACCAAACUUUCUCAGAGUCGCCUCACGAGAGUUGAGUUUUACGGAAAAAUCUCAGCUUAUUUUCGUUACCGCAAGCGGCCUCUCAGGAAAAAUGGCGUCGAUCGGGGAAUUCCCAAAGUGUCACAUGGUUUUGAGCGAUAAAUAUAGAAUAAACAUGGAUACUGAUACUUCCAUGCGGGUUCACAGAGUUGGAUGGUUUUCCCCCUGAUGCAAAACCAGUCUUCAACAAAAAAAAAUGCGAUAAGUUUUGUUUUUAUAGUCCUCUUGAGUGAUAAAUUAAUUGCUUAAUGGCUUAAUUUGAACUUGGUAUAAUACGGUGCACUGCUCUAUAAAUCAAAUGUGAUUAGAAGAAGCAGGCCCUUAAUCAUCUAAAAUCUAUAAGUGCAAGCCAAACAGUUUUUGUUAUACAUGUAUAUCUUGUCUUGAUUUUGUACAUUGCUCAUUAGUAAUUUGAAUAUCAUUUAUGAAGAAUUUUUUUUUAAAAGUACAGUACACAAUAAAAAAAAAUGUUAUAUACUGUGAAAAUUACUUCUUAUUUAGGGGCAUAUAAAUUAUGGAAAACUUUUCAUUGUCAAGACAGUUCAUUGGUUAUGUUUUAUAAAUUGUAUAAUGAUGUGCAAUGUACACAUAUUAUUUAUCCAAAUUGAGCAUCACUGCAUGACAAUAAAUACUAUUUUAGGAGCAGUGGUUCGGGAAUACUGAGGACAAGUGGGGAGGCUGCCAAGCAGUACAGUAACUUGAAGCAGAGGGCCAAAGGAAAGUUAUCAGAAGCAAAACGCCCAAAGACAGGAGGGGGUCCCAAGCCACCAAGCCCCACACCAGUUGAGC